UACGGGGGGGGCAAGCGUUGUUCGGAAUUACUGGGCGUAAAGGGCGCGUAGGCGGCCUGUUAAGUCAGACGUGAAAUCCCUCAGCUUAACUGGGGAACUGCGUCUGAUACUGGCGAGCUUGAGUGCAGGAGAGGAACGCAGAAUUCCAGGUGUAGCGGUGAAGUGCGUAGAUAUCUGGAGGAAUACCGGUGGCGAAGGCGGCGUUCUGGACUGCAACUGACACUGAUGAACGAAAGCCAGGGGAGCAAACGGG
rnacentral:rRNA from 1 species